CUGGACCAAAAGCCAUUGAGGUGUAGGGUUGACUUGUUGGAUCACUCUGAAGAGCAGUGGGCAAAGAGAACUGUAACCUCUCGUCAAACAAAAACAAAAUACUUUGACCCUCCCAAGAACCUUCCAACUCCAAAGGCAGUAAAAUGGAAAAAGAUGAAAGCAACAAGACAGAAAUCCAAGAACACUGCCAAUAAGAAUACAAGUGACGAAGAGAAACACAAAGAUUUUCAAACAAAUAAAACUGCAAAGAGGGAAGAUGGAAGCAAACGCAGCAAGCUCAGUGGAAAG